GUCUACGGCCAUGUCACCCUGAACAAGCCCAAUACUGUCUGAUCUUGGAAGCUAAGCAAGGUCAGGCCUGGUUAGUACUUGGAUGGGAGACCACCUAGGAAGACUAGGUGCUGUAGGCA
rfam:Pteropus alecto contig61119, whole genome shotgun sequence.